AUGAACGCUGGCGGCGUGCCUAACACAUGCAAGUCGCACGGAGUCCAGCCUUUAAGACCUUCGGGUCAAAGAGGGGAAGACUGAGUGGCGGACGGGUGAGUAACACGUGGGCAACCUGGCUCAUAGAGGGGGAUAACAGAGAGAAAUUACUGCUAAUACCGCAUAAGCACACACUGCCGCAUGGCAGAGGGUGAAAAGAGAAUCGCUAUGAGAUGGACCCGCGUCUGAUUAGCCAGUUGGCAGGGUAAGAGCCUACCAAAGCGACGAUCAGUAGCCGAUCUGAGAGGAUGAACGGCCACAUUGGGACUGAGACACGGCCCAAACUCCUACGGGAGGCAGCAGUGGGGGAUAUUGCACAAUGGGGGGAACCCUGAUGCAGCGACGCCGCGUGAGUGAAGAAGUAUUUCGGUAUGUAAAGCCCUAUCAGCAGGGAAGAUAAUGACAGUACCUGAAUAAGAAGCCCCGGCUAACUACGUG
rnacentral:rRNA from 1 species